ACACAGCUGGGGCCAGUAGCUGGUAGCUUGGAGAAGGGCAAGCAGGGAAAAAAGCGCAGCUCCUGGCCACACUGGGGCCCAGAGCAGCCAACAGUGAGGCCGAGGUUUGAAGAGCAGAGGCCGACCAGCCGCGGCCAGACCUUUGCCCAGCCCUGCCCGUUUAUUGCCGGGUACUUGCUGGAAGGGGACAGAAGAUAAGACUCGGGGUGACUCCCAAGGCCUGAAGGGGGCUGAUUGGGCCGGGGGCUCCCAGAGGAUAAACCUAGGGGCCGGUCGGUCUUCCUCGGCGUGGAAGUGAGAGCCACGCGGCGUGGCGGAGCUCCACCACCGUCUCCUUAUCUCUUUAAAGCCUCAAAAUCAAACAAAACCACUACUACCCAGGCCUCAAGUUUCCACAGUUUUUGUCUGCUCUGGACCGUUUACUUUUUUUGAAAAAAGAGAACUUGGUGGAAUCCAAAUUCUCUACUAGGCCUCCGAACCAAAACGAAGGAAAAUCCGUUUUCUUCUUGGGCU
rnacentral:lncRNA from 1 species